UACGAAGGGGGCUAGCGUUGCUCGGAAUCACUGGGCGUAAAGCGCACGUAGGCGGACUCUUAAGUCGGUGGUGAAAUCCUGGAGCUCAACUCCAGAACUGCCUUCGAUACUGAGAGUCUCGAGUCCGGGAGAGGCGAGUGGAACUGCGAGUGUAGAGGUGAAAUUCGUAGAUAUUCGCAAGAACACCAGUGGCGAAGGCGGCUCACUGGCCCGGUACUGACGCUGAGGUGCGAAAGCGUGGGGAGCAAACAGG
rnacentral:rRNA from 1 species